rnacentral:rRNA from 1 species
UACGUAGGUGGCAAGCGUUGUCCGGAAUUACUGGGCGUAAAGCGUGCGUAGGUGGUUGCUUAAGUCUGUUGUGAAAGCCCUGGGCUCAACCUGGGAAUUGCAGUGGAUACUGGGCGACUAGAGUGUGGUAGAGGGUAGUGGAAUUCCCGGUGUAGCAGUGAAAUGCGUAGAGAUCGGGAGGAACAUCCAUGGCGAAGGCAGCUACCUGGACCAACACUGACACUGAGGCACGAAAGCGUGGGGAGCAAACAGG